CAUUUCUCUUUCCGUAUCUGAGAUUUCCGGAAGACGUCUGUGCAUCGGUGCGCUGGCCUGGCGCCUCCUCCGCUUCUUCCUCCUUCCCAACCACACAACCUCCGACGCCGACGCUCCUUCACCCUCCGCCGGCGACGCUGAACAUGCCUGCAUCUGUUGGUUGCUUUCCGACACCGCAAAUUCCAUGAUUUCAACAAUCUCCAGUGCUUUAGCAAUCGUGCUCCAUCCGUCGACGGUUGGGCCACGGGAAGCGGCGGAUAUAGGUUGUGCAGCGGCCAAAAGUCCAUGACUUUCUACACUUCGAUUAUGGCUGUGUGCGGCAGACUCGGUGGCAGAUUAGCUGCUGGAGUCGGUGGCAGAUUCGCCGCUGGUACCAUCUUAAAUAUGGUAAUCGAGAGAGGUAUAGCAGGAUUGGUAAGACAUAGUUUAUGUAGAGAGUAGAGAGGAAAAAGUUUGUAUUUUCUUGUGUAUUCCUAAUGUUCAUCACCCUAGUAUUUAUAGGGUGAAUGAGAAUAUUCUAGCACAUCAAUAAAUGUAAAUUGGUACUUUACAAAGCUUAGGAACUAUGCAUCACUGAACCCUCUAUAAUGAAUGUUGGGCGGCAUAUUAAUGUUGUUUCUCUUUCCAACAGAUGCCCUACAUUUUGAUAUAUGUGAAUCUGGGCAGGAGUUCAAAUAAGUGGUAGAAUUACACACUUGUAGAACGUCUCUAUUUGUGUUAUGUUGGAAUUUGAAAAUGAAAUUUCUGUGCAAAAAAUGUCUGUCGCGAAUCGUGUAGCCUUAGAUCUGGGAUUGGUUCCGGCAGUGACGGGAAAACUGAGUCGCCGAUGGUGAAGUUCAGGAAAGACGAUCGUUCACGGAGGAUAUGGACUUUACGCGAGGAAGAGAUAUUCGCAACAACCUUAGUUGAACUCGUUGCCCGGGGUUGGAAAUCAGACAAUGGGUUUCACGCUGGUUAUCUCCAGAAAAUCGAAGACAAUAUUCGCAAGGAAUUCCCCAACUCGGACAUCAAGGGUACCCUACAUGUUACUUCCAAAAUUUCUGCUUGGAAAAAGAGCUACAACAGUAUGCGAGGGAUCUUGUCACGAACUGGGGUUGGCUUCAAUCCGCAUGGGGAUUUCAAAAUUGAUUGUGAUGACGAACCGUAGGGGCAGAUUGUGAAUGUGUUAUUCCUUUACUCGCUGCUAAUGAGAACUUGAAUGCGAUUUAUGUUUAACUUGCUUGCGGACAGUUUAAUGUAUAUUCCCUCUGUGUGUAGGCUGACAAGCAUGCCAAGUUCAUGCAGAUGAAGUUUUGGCCCUUUUGGGAGACAUGGAAGAGCAUUUUUGGCAAGGACCAAGCAACCGGAUCUAUGACUGAAGACAUCGUGGAUGCUGCUGCGUGAGCGCGUCCCCAAGAAACUUUGGGAAGUGAGUGCAAUGAAAAUGAUUACCACCCUUGUAUGGACGACAUCCCGGCUGAACAGAGCACUGCACUUGGGGAACAGCCUGGGCUGCAAGACCAUAGCUCAGGUGAUGAUCAGCGCCGCACUUCUACUAUGAAAAACGGAUUGGGUAUGGAGUUUCUUGCAAACCUCCAUGCGGAGACUAACUCCCGCUUUGAGGUUAUCGCUGCUAGGAUUGGGUACGAGUUUGACUUGGGAAAGGUGCAGAGGGAGGUGUUUGAUAAACUCAGCACCAUUGAUAAACUCACAAGGUAUGAACUUUGUGACAUUUUUAGCGAGAAAUCACAACGUCUUGAGGUUUUUAUGGGUAUACCAGCAUCUGCUCAUCUUGGAUAUGUGAAAAGGUUCAUCUAACAGAACCGGAACGUUGGGUGAUUCAGCGACUGAAGUGAAGCUGUGUGGUCUACUAUAAUAUGUAUUAUAUUAUUAUGUCAAAUGUGGCAACAAGUGUGCGUUAAAAUAUGUGAAUAUUUUGGUAUACAUUGGAUCAUCCAGCUGCUUGGGGUAAGUUUUAUUUUGUGGAACGUUAACAGGUUGUGAAAGCCCCCAGCAUAUUUUGUACCCGAACUAUAUAUCAAUGAUCCAUAUUAUUAUUUUCUGUUGCC